rnacentral:rRNA from 1 species
GGGGAAUCUUGCGCAAUGGGCGAAAGCCUAACGCAGCGACGCCGCGUGAGUGAUGAAGACCUUCGGAUUGUAAAGCUCUAUGGAGGAAGACGAAUAAAAAUUGACUAGCAUCCAGCUCGAUGACGGUACCCCUUUAGCAAACACCAACUAACUCUGUGCCAGCAACCACGGUAAGACAGAAAGUGCAAACGUUGUUCGGAAUUACUGAGCGUAAAGCGCGUGUAGACUGCUCGGAAAGUCGGAUGUGAAAACCCUGAGCUCAACCUAAGAAAUGCAUUCGAAACGUCCGAACUGGAGUGCUGGAGAGGAAAGCGGAAUUCUCGGUGUAGAGAUGAAAUUCGUAGAUAUCGAGAAGAACACCGGUGGCGAAGGCGACCUUCUGGACAGUAACUGACGCUGAGACACGAAAGCGUAAGGAGCAAAC